rnacentral:rRNA from 1 species
UACGGAGGGAGCUAGCGUUAUUCGGAAUUACUGGGCGUAAAGCGCACGUAGGCGGCUUUGUAAGUAAGAGGUGAAAGCCUGGAGCUCAACUCCAGAAUAGCCUUUAGACUGCAUCGCUUGAAUCAUGGAGAGGUGAGUGGAAUUCCGAGUGUAGAGGUGAAAUUCGUAGAUAUUCGGAAGAACACCAGUGGCGAAGGCGGCUCACUGGACAUGUAUUGACGCUGAGGUGCGAAAGCGUGGGGAGCAAACAGG